rnacentral:rRNA from 1 species
GGUUCAGGAUGAACGCUAGCUACAGGCUUAACACAUGCAAGUCGAGGGGCAGCAUGGGAGUAGCUGCUACUCUGAUGGCGACCGGCGCACGGGUGCGUAACACGUAUCCAAUCUACCCAUGGCUCGGGAAUAGCCUUUCGAAAGAAAGAUUAAUGCCCGAUGGUCUGUCAGUGAGACAUCUCGCAGGCAGUAAAGAUUUAUCGGCGAUGGAUGAGGAUGCGUCUGAUUAGAUAGUAGGCGGGGUAACGGCCCACCUAGUCGACGAUCAGUAGGGGUUCUGAGAGGAAGGUCCCCCACAUUGGAACUGAGACACGGUCCAAACUCCUACGGGAGGCAGCAGUGAGGAAUAUUGGUCAAUGGUCGAGAGACUGAACCAGCCAAGUAGCCGUGAAGGAAGACUGCCCUAUGGGUUGUAAACUUCUUUUGUUUGGGAAUAAAGUGAGUCACGUGUGACUUUUUGUAUGUACCAUACGAAUAAGCAUCGGCUAAUUCCGUGCCAGCCGCUGC